GACGAACGCUGGCGGCGUGCUUAACACAUGCAAGUCGAACGGAAAGGCCUGCUUUCCCUUGUGGAUUGCGGGUACUCGAGUGGCGAACGGGUGAGUAACACGUGAGUGAUCUGCCCCCAACUUGGGUAUAAGCCUGGGAAACUGGGUCUAAUUCCCGAUAGGACUGCAGGGUGGUGCCUGUGGUGGAAAACGAUUUUCUAGUGGUUGGGGAUGAGCUCGCGGCCUAUCAGCUUGUUGGUGGGGUAAUGGCCUACCAAGGCGGCGACGGGUAGCCGGCCUGGGAGGGUGGACGGCCACAUUGGGACUGAGAUACGGCCAAGACUCCUACGGGAGGCAGCAGUGGGGAAUAUUGCACAAUGGGCGGAAGCCUGAUGCAGCGACGCCGCGUGGGGGAUGACGGCCUUCGGGUUGUAAACUCCUUUCGACCGCGAGGAAGCCACCUGGUUGGAAGGGUGGUGACGGUAGUGGUAGAAGAAGCACCGGCUAACUACGUG
rnacentral:rRNA from 1 species